rnacentral:rRNA from 1 species
UACAGAGGGGGCAAGCGUUGUUCGGAAUUAUUGGGCGUAAAGGGCGCGUAGGCGGCCUUCUAAGUCGAACGUGAAAUCCCCGGGCUCAACCCGGGAACUGCGUCCGAUACUGGCAGGCUUGAAUCCGGGAGAGGGAUGCGGAAUUCCAGGUGUAGCGGUGAAAUGCGUAGAUAUCUGGAGGAACACCGGUGGCGAAGGCGGCAUCCUGGACCGGCAUUGACGCUGAGGCGCGAAAGCCAGGGGAGCAAACGGG